rnacentral:rRNA from 1 species
CAAUACUCCGCCGGCGACCGGCGCACGGGUGCGUAACGCGUAUGCAACCUACCUUUAACAGGGGCAUAACACUGAGAAAUUGGUACUAAUUCCCCAUAACAUUCGAGAAGGCAUCUUCUUGGGUUAAAAACUCCGGUGGUUAAAGAUGGGCAUGCGUUGUAUUAGUUAGUUGGUGAGGUAACGGCUCACCAAGGCAACGAUACAUAGGGGGACUGAGAGGUUAACCCCCCACAUUGGUACUGAGACACGGACCAA